rnacentral:rRNA from 1 species
AAAGCGCGCGUAGGUGGUUUGUUAAGUUGGAUGUGAAAUCCCCGGGCUCAACCUGGGAACUGCAUUCAAAACUGACUGACUAGAGUAAGGUAGAGGGUGGUGGAAUUUCCUGUGUAGCGGUGAAAUGCGUAGAUAUAGGAAGGAACACCAGUGGCGAAGGCGACCACCUGGACUAAUACUGACACUGAGGUGCGAAAGCGUGGGGAGCAAACAGGAUUAGAUACCCCAGU